rnacentral:rRNA from 1 species
UACGGAGGGUGCAAGCGUUAUCCGGAUUCACUGGGUUUAAAGGGUGCGUAGGCGGGUAUCUAAGUCAGUGGUGAAAGCUCCGGGCUUAACUUGGAAACUGCCAUUGAUACUGUAUAUCUUGAAUGUCGUAGAGGUUAGCGGAAUGUUGCAUGUAGCGGUGAAAUGCUUAGAUAUGUUACAGAACACCAAUUGCGAAGGCAGCUAACUAUGCGAUGAUUGACGCUGAGGCACGAAAGCGUGGGGAGCAAACAGG